AGAGUUUGAUCCUGGCUCAGGAUGAACGCUGGCGGCGUGCCUAACACAUGCAAGUCGAGCGAUUCUCUUCGGAGAAGAGCGGCGGACGGGUGAGUAACGCGUGGGUAACCUGCCCUGUACACACGGAUAACAUACCGAAAGGUAUGCUAAUACGGGAUAACAUAAGAAAUUCGCAUGUUUUUCUUAUCAAAGCUCCGGCGGUACAGGAUGGACCCGCGUCUGAUUAGCUAGUUGGUGAGGUAACGGCUCACCAAGGCGACGAUCAGUAGCCGACCUGAGAGGGUGAUCGGCCACAUUGGAACUGAGACACGGUCCAAACUCCUACGGGAGGCAGCAGUGGGGAAUAUUGCACAAUGGGCGAAAGCCUGAUGCAGCAACGCCGCGUGAGCGAUGAAGGCCUUCGGGUCGUAAAGCUCUGUCCUCAAGGAAGAUAAUGACGGUACUUGAGGAGGAAGCCCCGGCUAACUACGUGCCAGCAGCCGCGGUAAUACGUAGGGGGCUAGCGUUAUCCGGAUUUACUGGGCGUAAAGGGUGCGUAGGCGGUCUUUUAAGUCAGGAGUGAAAGGCUACGGCUCAACCGUAGUAAGCUCUUGAAACUGGAGGACUUGAGUGCAGGAGAGGAGAGUGGAAUUCCUAGUGUAGCGGUGAAAUGCGUAGAUAUUAGGAGGAACACCAGUAGCGAAGGCGGCUCUCUGGACUGUAACUGACGCUGAGGCACGAAAGCGUGGGGAGCAAACAGGAUUAGAUACCCUGGUAGUCCACGCCGUAAAC
rnacentral:rRNA from 1 species